rnacentral:rRNA from 1 species
AAGCUCGUAGUUGAAUUUCGGGAUCAGACUGUCGGUCGUGCCUCGGUACGCACUGGCAUUAUUGGUUCCUACCUUCUGAGGAACCGCGAUGUCAUUAAUUUGGUGUCGUGGGGAAUCAGGACUGUUACUUUGAAAAAAUUAGAGUGUUUAAAGCAGGCUUACGCUUGAAUACAUUAGCAUGGAAUAAUGAAAUAGGACGUUUGAUUCCAUUUUGUUGGUUUCUAGGAUCGACGUAAUGAUUAAUAGGGAUAGUUGGG